CUGAAAAAAAUAUCUUUUCUGGCACUCAAAAUUGCCGGCUAUUCCUAUUUUCAGCGGCACUUAAUAAUGCUGGCAAUAAAUAUAAAAUUAUAAUUCGUAAUCAAAUAUCCCGACAAAAAAAGUGCCAGCAAAAAAGUAUUUUGUAAAUAAAUCGAUAGGGAUUCAUGUAUUAACAUAUACAAACGAUAUCGAGCACAAUAAUUAUAGUAAGAAAAACAAAGAAUAAAAGAUAACUUUAUAAAAUUUCGACUACUACAUUCAACAUCCAUAAUAAACCAAAAAAAUUAACAAUAUCUAAAACAGUUGUUCACGAAAAAAAUUUUAAAUACAAGUAAAACAUCAUGCAUCAUUAAUUA
rnacentral:lncRNA from 1 species